rnacentral:rRNA from 1 species
AGGGAAUCUUCGGCAAUGGACGGAAGUCUGACCGAGCAACGCCGCGUGAGUGAGGAAGGUUUUCGGAUCGUAAAGCUCUGUUGCCAGGGAAGAAGGGUAAGGAGAGUAACUGCUCUUUACUUGACGGUACCUGAGAAGAAAGCCCCGGCUAACUACGUGCCAGCAGCCGCGGUAAUACGUAGGGGGCAAGCGUUGUCCGGAAUUAUUGGGCGUAAAGCGCGCGCAGGCGGUACAUUAAGUCUGGUGUUUAAGCCCAGGGCUCAACCUUGGGACGCACUGGAAACUGGUGAACUAGAGUGCAGAAGAGGAAAGUGGAAUUCCACGUGUAGCGGUGAAAUGCGUAGAGAUGUGGAGGAACACCAGUGGCGAAGGCGACUUUCUGGUCUGUAACUGACGCUGAGGCGCGAAAGCGUGGGGAGCAAAC